rnacentral:tRNA from 1 species
GCGGAUGCAGCACGACGGAUCGUGCAAGUUUUUUCCAAAGACUAGGUUGUUGGUUCGAAUCCAACCAUCCGCG